rnacentral:rRNA from 1 species
UGGGGAAUAUUGCACAAUGAGCGAAAGCUUGAUGCAGCCAUACCGCGUGUGUGAAGAAGGCCCGAGGGUUGUAAAGCACUUUCAAUUGUGAGGAAGGUAGUGUAGUUAAUACCUGCAUUGCUUGACGUUAACUUUAGAAGAAGCACCGGCUAACUCUGUGCCAGCAGCCGCGGUAAUACAGAGGGUGCAAGCGUUAUUCGGAAUUACUGGGCGUAAAGCGCGCGUAGGCGGACUAUUAAGUCAGUUGUGAAAGCCCUGGGCUCAACCUGGGAACUGCAUCUGAUACUGGUAGUCUAGAGUUUAAGAGAGGGAAGUGGAAUUCCAGGUGUAGCAGUGAAAUGCGUAGAUAU